UGGACAACCUCAGAUCAGCGAGCGAUUGAACAUAAAAGAAGGCGAACUUGGCGAAGUGUCUCCAGAUAUUAGAGCUGCUGUUGAAGAAGGUAGUGAACGUGGUGGAUUACAUCCAAGGCGAUCCAGCUGGGGGAGGAAAAGCGGAAGCUGGGACAUGUCGCCUGAAGUUGUUGCCUUGGCAGCAAGGGGUGGCGAAAAUCGUGUUGGAGGGAGCAGCAGCAGUGGCAACUUAACGGCUGACAACCGAGAAACACGUGAUCAUUGAUAAAACUUGGAAACAGAUUUAGAUGUUAAAUGAAAAAGAAAGUAAAAGAAAAUUGAUUGAAGAGAAACGAAUUUUAGAAUCUAAUUUUAUGGGUUUGAAAUGGGGUUUGUUGAGGUUUCAGGG
rnacentral:misc_RNA from 1 species